GUUCGAGCUCGCACCUCCCCUUGGGGGUGGGUGCCAGCUGAGCCUUUCUGGGUGAAUACGUGCGUACUUCAAUGUAUGGCGAAUUCAGCCCGGACUUUUACUUUGAGGAAAUAGAGUGUUUCAGGCAGGCAAACGCCUUGAAUACAUUAGCAUGGAAUAAUAAGAUAAGACUUUGGUCUUUUUUGUUGGUUCAUUGAUCGAAGUAAUGAUUAAUAGGGAUAGUUGGGGGCAUUCGUAUUUAACUGUCAGAGGUGAAAUUCUUGGAUU
rnacentral:rRNA from 1 species